CGCCGCCUCCCGUCACCGCCGCGCCCGCCAUUACGUAGCAAGCGCAGGCCCCGCCCCCCGCGGGUGGGCUUCCGGUGGAGGGCAGAACCUAUCCCGGAAGCGGAAGGAGACGCGGGCCGAGAGCCCAACGGGGUUGCAAAGUGGUGGGCUGGCUGGGGGACUUGGAGCCGAAGUUCUAAAAGACUUGGUGGGCGCGGGUGAGCCACCAUGGAGCUCGCAGGCCACUCCUCGACAUCGCGCUGUACCGGCGCCCGCAACCAGAUUCCUGAUAGGCAGACACCGAGGAUGAAAGAUCAAAUCGUGAAAAGCUAAAUCCUUUCUGCAAACCGGGAGCGGACUCCCGUGGCUGGUUCUCUGGAGCACGUCCUGGGAACUGCCGCUACGUGCUCUGUGCGAUAUGAUGCCAUCUGGAACUUGCUACAAAAUAACCCACUUGGGUGUCUAUUGGAGGAAGCGAACAGAGGAAACAAUGUUGAUCUGAAGGUGCAGCCUCCUGGGCCCUGCUCUGCCUUUCCUGGUCCCACAGCCAGACUGGAGCAAGGGGAACCUCCUUCGGGCAGAUGCCCUGUCUUUUGAUGUAUAUGGCCAACCACGAGCCACACCAAAGCCCUUGUCC